rnacentral:misc_RNA from 1 species
UCUUAUUUCAGACAAAUAAUACCUGGGCUGAUCACAUCCACACGAUUUUCUUUCAAACCUAUCUAACGGCUUUCGCAUAACAAAUCUGACCUGGCUCAAACCAUUACAAAAUUUCUUAUUUCUCAUUUCAGACGAAAGGUCUACCCUCUACAAGUAAAUUUUCCAACAGGUUACAGUUCCCAUAAAGAGAAGCAGCAGCUAGAGAGUUCAGAAACAAUAACAGAGAAGAUAAUGGCACACAAUAGCAGCUUCGAGAUCGACCCAAGAAGCGGCUUUUGCAGAUCCAAUUCUAUUUUCUACAGCAAACGCAAACCAAUUCCUCUCCCACCCAAUUACUCCAUUGACAUCACCACCUUUAUUUCAUCCCAAGCUCACCGUGGCAAGACUGCCUUCAUCGACGCCACCACUGGUCACCACCUCACCUUCUUCGACCUAUGGAAAGCCGUCGAUUCCGUCGCCACCUCUCUAUCUCAGAUGGGUGUCCGCAAGGGCCACGUCAUCCUUCUCCUUUCCCCAAACUCCAUUUUCUUUCCUGUUGUUUGCCUUUCUGUUAUGUCCCUUGGAGCCAUUAUUACCACUACCAACCCUCUCAAUACUCCACGUGAAAUCGCCAAGCAAAUCGCCGACUCCAAACCUUUAUUCGCCUUUACCACCCCCCAACUAGUCCCCAAACUCACCGAGUCGAACUCGAAUCUCCCCAUCAUCCUCAUAGACGACCCUGAUUCCAUCAAAGCCCAAUCCAUAAUCGUGACAACUUUAAGCGAGAUGAUGAAGGAGCCUAGUGGGAGUCGUGUCAGGGAGCGAGUCAACAUGGACGACACAGCUACUCUGCUCUACUCUUCAGGUACAACCGGAGCAAGCAAGGGCGUAGUUUCCUCGCAUCGCAACCUAAUCGCGAUGGUUCAAACCAUCAUUGGACGCUUUAACGAAGACAGAGAGCAUAAAUUUAUCUGCACCGUCCCAAUGUUUCACAUUUACGGUCUAGCAUUGUUCGCGACGGGAUUACUCGCGUCAGGAUCAACAAUCAUUGUGCUCUCAAAGUUCGAGAUUCAUGAGAUGCUAUCCACGAUCGAGAGGUAUCGUGCCACGGAUCUCCAUCUGGUACCACCUAUACUAGUAGCACUGAUCAACGGCGCUGAUCAGAUAAGGUCCAAAUAUGAUUUGAGUUCGCUACAAACAGUUGUGUGUGGAGGAGCCCCACUGAGCAAGGAGGUGAUAGAGGGGUUCAUGGAGAAAUAUCAAACGUUGAGAAUUCUUCAGGGUUACGGGUUGACUGAAUCGACGGGGGUGGGUGCAUCAACAGAUACUUUAGAGGAAAGUAGGAGAUACGGCACCGCGGGGCUGCUGACGUCGAGCAUGGAGGCAAAGAUUGUGGACCCAGAGAGUGGAAAAGCUUUGCCGGUGAACCAGACCGGUGAGCUUUGGCUUAGAGGUCCCUCAAUUAUGAAAGGUUACUUUUUUAAUCCUGAAGCUACAUCAUCAACUCUCAAUUCAGAGGGAUGGUUAAGAACUGGAGAUGUAUGCUACAUUGAUGAUGAUGGGUUUAUUUUUGUUGUUGAUCGAUUGAAGGAAUUGAUCAAAUACAAGGGAUAUCAGGUCCCUCCUGCGGAGCUAGAGGCCUUGUUGCUUACUCAUACGGAAAUUGCUGAUGCUGCUGUAAUACCGUUUCCUGACAAGGAGGCUGGGCAGUUUCCCAUGGCAUAUGUUGUAAGAAAGGCCGGAAGUAAUUUAUCUGAGAGUGCUGUCAUGGAUUUCGUGGCAAGACAGGUGUAUCUAAUAAAGUACCAAAUAUUAAGAAUCAUCUGAGUUUCUAAUAAAAUGAUUUAGCACAAUUACAUAUUCUUUCAUCGUUUCAUUGUUUUCUGAUUGCCAUAUUAUUAAUAAUAAGCUGCUGUAUAUGCAGGCGGCCCCAUACAAGAGAAUCCGAAGAGUUGCAUUUAUUGGAGCCAUACCCAAGAAUCCAUCAGGCAAGAUUCUCAGGAAGGAUCUGAUAAAGCUUGCAACCACUAAACUAUGAAUGUUUGGGUUUUGGAAUAACAAAUGUCCUUAAAACAAUGGACUACUAGAAUGUCCAUAUCAAUUGCCAUUUUUUAGAUAUAGUACAGCUUCUUAGCCUUGUUUAUCUACAUGUCUCUUGUUUACUUUUAAAGUUAAUUUCAUUGGAAAUGAAUAUUGCUUGUUUGGUAUAUGUUCUAUUAGUUCCAGAAGCAGGCUAUUGAGAAUGGAUUUUAUCUUCUAUUGUAAAGGCAGUGGAUUUAUUACUAUCCCAGGCCAUGGUUUUAAUCAAGAAAAUAUGAUUUUUCUUUGUUAUACGGUUUUGGUCUCGAUGAAACACCAGCUGAAGCUUAGAGUACUUCCGUAUGUGCAGCAGCCGAAGUUUAGAGUACUACUUCCGUAUGUGCAGUAGCCGAAGUUUAGAGUACUUCUGUACAUGCAAUUGGUAAUCGUAAUCGAACAUAGAUAUGUCACCUUGCCAAGAGAUGGUGGUAGACUCGAACUUGUGACUUCAGGGCUAGAUUGUUAUCUUCCUGCUACCCGUCUUCUAUGAGAAAUUGAGAUGUUAAGAAUAAGUCUCAACUCUUGGGACAGUUAAAAUCGUAAUAGAGGAAAAAGAGAGGAAAAGAACACCCAAAUGAAGGACAAAAACUUUAAUUCCCACAACUACAAAUGUACAAGACUGCGGCCUAAUCACUCAGCAUCCCGGUCUACACAACUAUAGAUCCAGGAGCAGCUUGAUUAUGGGUAGGAAUAACAGGGAAAAAAGAAGAUAUUGAAAUUCCCUCACAACUGUUCACGGGGAUUAAAGCAGUUUCCACUUCCACAGAAGGAUUCUUCCUCAGUACAGUGAAAAUGUAUUCCAUAAAUUCUUCCUCACAAGGAACUUGCAGUGGUCCAUGAGUCGUGGUUCCGAAUUCCUCCUCAGCCAUUUCCAGUAGAACUCUGAAGAUGGGGUGAUUCAAAUAAUAUAAAGGCACAACGAACCUCUUGCCUUCCUUGGUGUAGACAGCAAAAUGGCCUUUCUUUCUCUUAGUCCAUUUCCAAAUGAUAUCGCUUAGAACCUUAGAAGAACUCUUCAUGUGCUAAAAGAAACCAGGAUUUUGUUUCUUAUAGAUUUUUUUGUAGGUUGAGGUUCAGAUUACUGGGUUCUCGCACUGGAAUAUAUGUUGAUUUUUGUAGGCAGUUGGUGAGUGGCAGGCAGGCAGGCAUUUGGAGGAAGCUUAUAAAAAAAGCUAAGGUGAUGUGAGAAGCCCGCAGAUCGGAAAUGUAUGAAGAGAAUAGGUUUCCUGUGACCUUGAUAAUGUGGGGUGACCUUUCUAUGACAGGAAAAGAUGGGGACAGCCAUGUGUAUUAAAUAUCGAAAGUGAAAAGACACUUGCAACUUGUUUGUCUCGUAACUCAUCUGUGGAUGCUUGGGAAGGGCGGUGCUGGUGAUAAGGAAUGAAGCGGAUAAAAGAUCAAUGAACGUGGUUGCAUCAGGUCUGUCGUCUCCUAGCGAUGAAGACAUGAUGGUGAUAGAGAUCUUUUCUUUGGACGGUGAAGGGGAUCCGCCAAUCCAGACAUAAAUGAUAAAUCUAAGCAUGCGAAUGCUGGGGCCUUGGAAAGGUUUUAGCUUUCAGAAUCCAUGUCGUGUUCUUGAUUUCUCCCAUUCUGAUGGGUCGGGCCAGUUUUCCCCAAGGAAGGAUUGUAUACCCCCUAUGAGUUAGCUCAUGGAAAUUGGACUUAGCCCAUAUCUUAAAUAUAUAAAUUUACUAAAUUUAAAUUCCAUAUUUCAAAAUUUUCAUCUAAAUACAAAAUAAAAUAAUUAAAAAA